AACGAACGCUGGCGGCAGGCCUAACACAUGCAAGUCGAACGCCGUAGCAAUACGGAGUGGCAGACGGGUGAGUAACACGUGGGAACGUACCCUUCGGUUCGGAAUAACUCAGGGAAACUUGAGCUAAUACCGGAUACGUCCGCAAGGAGAAAGAUUUAUCGCCGAAGGAUCGGCCCGCGUCUGAUUAGCUUGUUGGUGAGGUAACGGCUCACCAAGGCGACGAUCAGUAGCUGGUCUGAGAGGAUGAUCAGCCACAUUGGGACUGAGACACGGCCCAAACUCCUACGGGAGGCAGCAGUGGGGAAUAUUGGACAAUGGGCGCAAGCCUGAUCCAGCCAUGCCGCGUGAGUGAUGAAGGCCUUAGGGUUGUAAAGCUCUUUUACCCGGGAAGAUAAUGACGGUACCGGGAGAAUAAGCCCCGGCUAACUUCGUGCCAGCCGCCGCAGUAACAC
rnacentral:rRNA from 1 species